rnacentral:rRNA from 1 species
UACGGAGGGGACUAGCGUUGUUCGGAAUUACUGGGCGUAAAGCGCACGUAGGCGGAUUUGUAAGUCAGGGGUGAAAUCCCGAGGCUCAACCUCGGAACUGCCUUUGAUACUGCGAAUCUCGAGUCCGGAAGAGGUGAGCGGAAUUCCUAGUGUAGAGGUGAAAUUCGUAGAUAUUAGGAAGAACACCAGUGGCGAAGGCGGCUCACUGGUCCGGUACUGACGCUGAGGCACGAAAGCCAGGGGAGCAAACGGG